rnacentral:rRNA from 1 species
AUUGAACGCUAGCGGGAUGCUUUAACAAUGAAAGUCGACCGAGGGGCGGAGGGGUGAGUAAUAUAUGGAAACGUGCCCAGUGGCGGGGGAUAACUACUGGAAAGAGUGGCAAUACCGGCUAACUAUUGGAGGGGCCGAUACGGGAUUAGCUAGUUGGGGGGGUAAAGGCUCACCAAGGCAACGAUCCGUAGCUGGUUUGAGAGGACGACCAGCCACACUGGGACUGAGACACGGCCCAGACUCCUACGGGAGGCAGCAGUGGGGAAUUUUGGACAAUGGGGGAAACCCUGAUCCAGCCAUCCCGCGUGUAUGAGAAGGCCUUCGGGUUGUAAAGUACUUUUGGCAGAGAAGCGGUAUCUGCAGAAUAAGCACCGGCUAACUACGUGCCAGCAGCCGCGGUAAUUC